GUCUACAGCCAUGCCACCCUGAACAAGCCCGAUCCCGUCUGAUCUCAGAAGCUAAGCAGGGUCAGGCCUGGUUAGUACUUGGAUGGGAGACCACCUAGGAAGACCAGGUGCUAUAAGUG
rnacentral:rRNA from 1 species